rnacentral:rRNA from 1 species
AGGGAUCAUGACACAAAUAUGAAGGCGGGCUGGAACCUCUCGGGGUUACAGCCUUGCUGAAUUAUUCACCCUUGUCUUUUGCGUACUUCUUGUUAUCCUUGGUGGGUUCGCCCACCACUAGGACAAACAUAAACCUUUUGUAAUUGCAAUCAGCGUCAGUAACAAAUUAAUAAUUACAACUUUCAACAACGGAUCUCUUGGUUCUGGCAUCGAUGAAGAACGCAGCGAAAUGCGAUAAGUAGUGUGAAUUGCAGAAUUCAGUGAAUCAUCGAAUCUUUGAACGCACAUUGCGCCCUUUGGUAUUCCAAAGGGCAUGCCUGUUCGAGCGUCAUUUGUACCCUCAAGCUUUGCUUGGUGUUGGGCGUCUUGUCUCUAGCUUUGCUGGAGACUCGCCUUAAAGUAAUUGGCAGCCGGCCUACUGGUGUCGGAGCGCAGCACAAGUCGCACUCUCUAUCAGCAAAAGGCUAGCAUCCAUUAAGCCUUUUUUUCAACUUUUGACCUCGGAUCAGGUAGGGAUACCCGCUGAACUUAA